GGGAGGCAGCAGUGGGGAAUUUUGGACAAUGGGCGAAAGCCUGAUCCAGCAAUGCCGCGUGUGUGAAGAAGGCCUUCGGGUUGUAAAGCACUUUUGUCCGGAAAGAAAACCUCCGCCCUAAUAUGGUGGGGGGAUGACGGUACCGGAAGAAUAAGCACCGGCUAACUACGUGCCAGCAGCCGCGGUAAUACGUAGGGUGCAAGCGUUAAUCGGAAUUACUGGGCGUAAAGCGUGCGCAGGCGGUCCGCUAAGACAGAUGUGAAAUCCCCGGGCUUAACCUGGGAACUGCAUUUGUGACUGGCGGGCUAGAGUAUGGCAGAGGGGGGUAGAAUUCCACGUGUAGCAGUGAAAUGCGUAGAGAUGUGGAGGAAUACCGAUGGCGAAGGCAGCCCCCUGGGCCAAUACUGACGCUCAUGCACGAAUGCGUGGGGAGCAAACAGGAUUAGAUACCCUGGUAGUCCACGCCCUAAACGAUGUCAACUAGUUGUUGGGGAUUCAUUUCCUUAGUAACGUAGCUAACGCGUGAAGUUGACCGCCUGGGGA
rnacentral:rRNA from 1 species